rnacentral:rRNA from 1 species
UACGGAGGGGGCUAGCGUUGUUCGGAAUUACUGGGCGUAAAGCGCGCGUAGGCGGACCUGCAAGUCGGGGGUGAAAGCCCGAGGCUCAACCUCGGAACUGCCUUCGAUACUGCGGGUCUCGAGUCCGGGAGAGGUGAGUGGAAUUCCUAGUGUAGAGGUGAAAUGCGUAGAUAUUGGGAGGAACACCAGUGGCGAAGGCGGCUACCUGGACCGGUUCUGACGCUGAGGCGCGAAAGCGUGGGGAUCAAACAGG